CGGUUUAAGCGUGUAGGUGUGUGUUCCAGGUAAAUCCGGUUCACUUUAACACUGAGGCGUGACGACGAGGCACUACGGUGCUGAAGCAACAAAUGCCCUGCUUCCAGGAAAAGCCUCUAAGCAUCAGGUAACAUCAAAUCGUACCCCAAACCGACACAGGUGGUCAGGUAGAGAAUACCAAGGCGCUUGAGAGAACUCGGGUGAAGGAACUAGGCAAAAUGGUGCCGUAACUUCGGGAGAAGGCACGCUGACACGUAGGUGAAGUGAUUUACUCAUGGAGCUGAAGUCAGUCGAAGAUACCAGCUGGCUGCAACUGUUUAUUAAAAACACAGCACUGUGCAAACACGAAAGUGGACGUAUACGGUGUGACGCCUGCCCGGUGCCGGAAGGUUAAUUGAUGGGGUCAGCGCAAGCGAAGCUCCUGAUCGAAGCCCCGGUAAACGGCGGCCGUAACUAUAACGGUCCUAAGGUAGCGAAAUUCCUUGUCGGGUAAGUUCCGACCUGCACGAAUGGCGUAAUGAUGGCCAGGCUGUCUCCACCCGAGACUCAGUGAAAUUGAACUCGCUGUGAAGAUGCAGUGUACCCGCGGCAAGACGGAAAGACCCCGUGAACCUUUACUAUAGCUUGACACUGAACAUUGAGCCUUGAUGUGUAGGAUAGGUGGGAGGCUUUGAAGUGUGGACGCCAGUCUGCAUGGAGCCGACCUUGAAAUACCACCCUUUAAUGUUUGAUGUUCUAACGUGGACCCGUAAUCCGGGUUGCGGACAGUGUCUGGUGGGUAGUUUGACUGGGGCGGUCUCCUCCUAAAGAGUAACGGAGGAGCACGAAGGUUGGCUAAUCCUGGUCGGACAUCAGGAGGUUAGUGCAAUGGCAUAAGCCAGCUUGACUGCGAGCGUGACGGCGCGAGCAGGUGCGAAAGCAGGUCAUAGUGAUCCGGUGGUUCUGAAUGGAAGGGCCAUCGCUCAACGGAUAAAAGGUACUCCGGGGAUAACAGGCUGAUACCGCCCAAGAGUUCAUAUCGACGGCGGUGUUUGGCACCUCGAUGUCGGCUCAUCACAUCCUGGGGCUGAAGUAGGUCCCAAGGGUAUGGCUGUUCGCCAUUUAAAGUGGUACGCGAGCUGGGUUUAGAACGUCGUGAGACAGUUCGGUCCCUAUCUGCCGUGGGCGCUGGAGAACUGAGGGGGGCUGCUCCUAGUACGAGAGGACCGGAGUGGACGCAUCACUGGUGUUCGGGUUGUCAUGCCAAUGGCACUGCCCGGUAGCUAAAUGCGGAAGAGAUAAGUGCUGAAAGCAUCUAAGCACGAAACUUGCCCCGA
rnacentral:rRNA from 1 species